rnacentral:rRNA from 1 species
UUCCCUAGUACGGCGAGUGAGAGGGAAGAGCCCAAGAUUGAAAGCUGGCGCCUUCGGCGUCCGCAUUGUAAUCUCAAGAAGUGUUUUCCGCUUCGGACCAUGCCUAAGUCCCUUGGAAAAGGGCAUCAUAGAGGGUGAUAAUCCCGUACAUGGCAUGGAGCGCCCGAAGCUUUGUGAUACGCUUUCUAAGAGUCGAGUUGUUUGGGAAUGCAGCUCAAAAUGGGUGGUAAAUGCCAUCUAAGGCUAAAUAUUGGGGAGAGACCGAUAGCGAACAAGUACAGUGAUGGAAAGAUGAAAAGAACUUUGAAAAGAGAGUUAAACAGUACGUGAAAUUGCCAAAAGGGAAGGGUAGGAGGUCAGAGAUGCGUCGCAGGAUUCAGCCUUGCUUUUGCUUGGUGUUUUUCCUGCGUUGCAGGCCAACGUCGGUUUUGGGCACUGGAGAAGGGUAGGAGGAACGUGGCACCUCUCGGGGUGUGUUAUAGCCUCCUACUGGAUACAGCGACCGAGACCGAGGAACGCAGCGUACUCGUAAGAGCGGGCCUUUUGGCACCUUUACGCUUAGGGCGUUGGCAUAAUGGCCCUCUACCACCCGUCU